AUUAAAGAUAUCACUAUAGAUAAAGCAUGCCAUGAACAAAUCGACGCGGUCCUUAUGUCUCGUUAAACUAAUACCACACUGCGUUGUUAAGAACGAUUUUUGACGCUGUAACUCUUCUUUUCAACAUAUGUUGCUUGUAAGCUUUCCGUGGCUAAAUGACCUCUGGCAAUAAUAUGGUUUUGGUCGCAUAACAUGAUGCAGUAGCACUAAAUGAAUUUAGCAUAGGGUCGGCAUAAUCGCAUUCAGAUAGCUGCUGUCGGACAUCAUAUUUUCAGAGUCAGAACUGUAAUGAUUGUAUAUUGGAUCGUUAUAUACCCGCAUCAUUUAUAUAAGGUGAAUAUAGAUAUAUCCUUCAUUGAAUUUCUAUAAGUAAACUCAAAUGA